rnacentral:rRNA from 1 species
AUUGAACGCUGGCGGCAUGCCUUACACAUGCAAGUCGAACGGCAGCACGGGAGCAAUCCUGGUGGCGAGUGGCGAACGGGUGAGUAAUAUAUCGGAACGUGCCCAGUCGUGGGGAUAACGUAGCGAAAGCUACGCUAAUACCGCAUACGAUCUAUGGAUGAAAGCGGGGGAUCGCAAGACCUCGCGCGAUUGGAGCGGCCGAUAUCAGAUUAGGUAGUUGGUGAGGUAAAGGCUCACCAAGCCGACGAUCUGUAGCUGGUCUGAGAGGACGACCAGCCACACUGGGACUGAGACACGGCCCAGACUCCUACGGGAGGCAGCAGUGGGGAAUUUUGGACAAUGGNGCAAGCCUGAUCCAGCAAUGCCGCGUGCAGGAUGAAGG